GCCCGUCGGGAGGACUGCCCCGGCUGCCCCCCUCUCCCCCAGGUGGGCCCCUGGCCCGGGGGCCGGCAGAAGGCCGCGCCCCCCCGCUGGUGGUGGUGGUGGGGCCCGGGGAGAGCGAAGCCGGCCCCUCCCAGGGGAAGGUGCCUCUACGGGGGAGGGCGGGUCUGAGAGGAGAGGCGGCCUGGAGCAGACCUCUGAGCCUGGAGGUGGGGCGGGCACUGCGGGGCCCCGCCCCCGCCCCCAGGCCCCUGAGCUGGGCCGCCUGGUUGGGGACCGGGGGGAUACUGGGGGUCCUGAUGGUAACCAUGGUACUGAUGGUAAUGGCGGUCCUGAUGGUGACGGUUGUCACGGCGACCACGAUCACCGGGGGCAACUCUUGAGAGGCCGGCCAGAUCCGGAGACAGAGGAAUCUCCCUUCCGGUCCCAGGAGGUGGACUUCCUGUCCCCGGAGGUGGACUUCCUGCCUGGUGGUCCUGCUGGGGGGGUGCGGACGAGGAACUACCCCCCGCACACAAACCUAUGAGAUGGGACACAGAUACACACGCACACAACUGCAUCGACCAAUCAAAGCCAAAGUGACACAUAGAUAAAUGGGCUGCCAGAUGAAGAGAUGCUAGCUUUGGCCACUGUGGUGCUAACACGGAAUAUACUAACUCAUAAGGAUGCUAACAAGGGAGCCGCUAGCAUUAGCCUCUGUGAUGCUAACAGGAGAGGUACUAGCCGUAGCCAUGCCCUCAUACAUAUCCCUCAUCAAUUAACCGAAACAACCAUUUUCACCAUUUAAAUAAUGAUACCUGUCUGAUAGAAGAAGCUAAUUUUCUCUUUUUUACUGUAAAUGUACUGUACUCAAAAGCUGCUUGGGUGACUCACCAAUCAACCACCGUGUCACGUGUAUGACAGUUGGGCCCCGCCCACUCAGCCUCACCGGUACUACAGGUAACACCCUGCUCAGCCACACCUGUAGUACAGGCAACACCAGCCUCACCUUUACUACAGGUAGCACCCUACUCAUAUCGCACAGCGGCGGCUGUUAUUCUGCUGAUGGCCUGCAGGUGGCGCUUUCGCGCUUUUGGGACACUUAAUGCUGUUUAUUUUUAUUUGCACCGUUUUGCCACUAAUGAUAAUGAGGGGGUGUCAUCACUAAAAAGUCUUUCAAAUAUAUGAAAGGAGUUUUCUUGUUCUAAUGUGGUGAAAGGCUGUGACAACCGAUCCAAACCUUGAUAUCACUGUAUCAUCCCGAAUCUACUGGACUAAACACCAUAUCCCAGCAUGCAUUCCUGCCACAGGGCCUUUAGGGGGGAAAGUGGUGUUGGCAAGAUGAAUGUUGGGGCCAUGUUGCUGCUGAAGUGCUUGAAUGUUUUGAAGAAGAUAUAUGCAGAAACUAUGAUUAAAACCUCUUAGAUUGAAGCUGCCAUCAUGUACUUUUGUCACUUCAGUUGUAUACUUAAAUGUGCUACCAACGUCUUAUGUUUUUAAUUAUUUUGUGACACUGCUGAGAUGUGGGUCUACUUAAGUUAACAUAUUUUUUUACGUUUAUAUUUGAACGAAUAUUACUAUUGAGUGUUUAAAAGCCAAACCACCAGCCUUCUUACUGAAAGGGUUAAUGUUUGAGUGUGUUUGCCUGCAGGCCAAUGACGCAAUAGGAGAAGGAACAAACGGAAAAGCAUAAUAGGCCCCCUUUAAGGAACGACUCCAUCUGGGUUCUGGGAGACGUUCUGUAGUUCUGUUAGGAGCGUGACAGCGUGACGUAGAUGUUUCAUUUAUUCACAUGUUCUCGAAAUAGG
ensembl:lncRNA